UACGGGGGGGGCAAGCGUUGUUCGGAAUUACUGGGCGUAAAGGGCUCGUAGGUGGCCAACUAAGUCAGACGUGAAAUCCCUCGGCUUAACCGGGGAACUGCGUCUGAUACUGGAUGGCUUGAGUUUGGGAGAGGGACGCGGAAUUCCAGGUGUAGCGGUGAAAUGCGUAGAUAUCUGGAGGAACACCGGUGGCGAAGGCGGCAUCCUGGACCAUUACUGACGCUGAGGAGCGAAAGCCAGGGGAGCAAACGGG
rnacentral:rRNA from 1 species